rnacentral:tRNA from 1 species
GCCGGAGUGUCGAAAUCGGUAGCCGAUAGCGACUCAAAAUCGCUUGGGCGCAAGCCCGUGAGGGUUCGAGUCCCUCCUCCGGCA